ensembl:snRNA U6 U6 spliceosomal RNA
GUGCUCACUUCAACAGCAUAUUUGCUGAAAUGGGAGUGGUGCAGAGAUUAGCAUGGCCUGUGCAAGGAUGACACUCAAAUUCAUGAAGCACUCCAUCUUUUU